GGUAAGAUGGCCGAGCGGUCUAAGGCGCUAGCUUCAGGUGCUAGUAGAGAAAUCUGCGUGGGUUCGAAUCCCACUCUUAUCA
rfam:Cochliobolus heterostrophus C5 unplaced genomic scaffold COCHEscaffold_2, whole genome shotgun sequence.